UCCUACGGGAGGCAGCAGUGGGGAAUUUGGACAAUGGGCGAAAGCCUGAUCCAGCAAUGCCGCGUGUGUGAAGAAGGCCUUCGGGUUGUAAAGCACUUUUGUCCGGAAAGAAAUCCUUGGCUCUAAUACAGUCGGGGGAUGACGGUACCGGAAGAAUAAGCACCGGCUAACUACGUGCCAGCAGCCGCGGUAAUACGUAGGGUGCGAGCGUUAAUCGGAAUUACUGGGCGUAAAGCGUGCGCAGGCGGUUUGCUAAGACCGAUGUGAAAUCCCCGGGCUCAACCUGGGAACUGCAUUGGUGACUGGCAGGCUAGAGUAUGGCAGAGGGGGGUAGAAUUCCACGUGUAGCAGUGAAAUGCGUAGAGAUGUGGAGGAAUACCGAUGGCGAAGGCAGCCCCCUGGGCCAAUACUGACGCUCAUGCACGAAAGCGUGGGGAGCAAACAGGAUUGGAUACCCUGGUAGUCCACGCCCUAAACGAUGUCAACUAGUUGUUGGGGAUUCAUUUCCUUAGUAACGUAGCUAACGCGUGAAGUUGACCGCCUGGGGAGUACGGUCGCAAGAUUAAAACUCAAAGGAAUUGACGGGGACCCGCACAAGCGGUGGAUGAUGUGGAUUAAUUCGAUGCAACGCGAAAAACCUACCUACCCUUGACAUGGUCGGAAUCCCGCUGAGAGGUGGGAGUGCUCGAAAGAGAACCGGCGCACAGGUGCUGCAUGGCUGUCGUCAGCUCGUGUCGUGAGAUGUUGGGCUAAGUCCCGCAACGAGCGCAACCCUUGUCCUUAGUUGCUACGCAAGAGCACUCUAAGGAGACUGCCGGUGACAAACCGGGGGAAGGUGGGGAUGACGUCAAGUCCUCAUGGCCCUUAUGGGUAGGGCUUCACACGUCAUACAAUGGUCGGAACAGAGGGUUGCCAACCCGCGAGGGGGAGCUAAUCCCAGAAAACCGAUCGUAGUCCGGAUUGCACUCUGCAACUCGAGUGCAUGAAGCUGGAAUCGCUAGUAAUCGCGGAUCAGCAUGCCGCGGUGAAUACGUCCCAGGCCUUGUACACACCGC
rnacentral:rRNA from 1 species